rnacentral:lncRNA from 1 species
ACAGGCGCUCCCGCCCCUGUGCCGCGGCAGGGUGACGUCUCCGCAGCGCACUAGAGGUGCCGCUACUUCCGGGUCGGCCGAGCACACCUGGCGGCGUGGCGGACGCCUGAAGUGUGACAGUGGCGCGCGCCCCCGCCCCAGAACGGGGACUCGAGGGACUUUGCCCACCCCUGCAACAGCCCUCCCGCGCUGUCUCCCGGGCAGGGAGAAGGCUGGGCUCCCCCACCUGCCCCUGGCCGUCAGGUGGCUGUGGAGAAGCGGAGGCGCGGGCGCUCGGCCUUAACGUCCCGGGCUCUGGGGCCAUCCGUGACUCCCACACGCGGAGCACCUGCAGUUUGGGGAGGGAGGGAUCUGGGAGCGAUCGGCCAAAGCCUGGGGCUGCCGAGGAAAUGGCUCUUCGGAAUUAGGGAUCUGAGAGUGUGAGAUUUGACCUUUGUAGGCUGGUGGCGGCUGUGCAAUCUCUAGCUCCACCCACUCCCUCCAAAAGCUUUGUCCUCUGACAGCUCUGCGAAGGUUUUAGCUGAGUAUUUGUGAGCACGUAUUUCUUUUGCAGUAUUUUUAAAAAUCCUCUUGAUCUGAGGCAACUUCGCUGGCUUCCUCCCCAUUCCCUUGGGCAGGUUGAGAGUGUUGGUUCCUGGCCUGACCUCAGAAACUCAGAGAAGCACAGGAUGGGCAUAAACUACUUUAUCCAAAAGGCAGAACUUUGCAAACACAGUCGUAUCUGCUGUGUCUUUUUUGAUGUAAGUAGGAAUGAUGAGUAGGGUGAAGUCACAGGUAAACAACCCAAAACGAAUUUCCAUGCCCUCCCCACGGAUCCUAAAGCAGGGACUGGAGAUGGGGAGAGAGGCUAGAUGUACUUGGAACAAAAUUCACCUUGUAUUUAUUACCUGGGCGCUGGUGUUUUUUGAAAAAAGCAAACAAGAUAACCAUAUUAGUCUGAUGCUGAGACUAUGCCCUAUCUGUAAGAAUCCUUGGGCUGGGCGCGGUGGCUCACCCUUGUAAUCCCAACACUUGGAGGCCAAGGUGGGCGGAUCACCUGAGGUCAGGAGUUCGAGACCAGCAUGGCCAACAUGGUGAAACCCCGUCUCUACUAAACAUACAAAAAUUAGCUGGGUGUGGUGGUGGGCGCCUGUAAUCCCAGCUACUCAGGAGGCUGAGGCACGAGAAUCCCUUGAACCUAGGAGGCGGAGGUUGCAGCGAGCUGAGAUGUCGCCACUGCACUCCAGCCUGGGCGACAGAGCGAGACUCCGUCUCAAAAGAAAAGAAAAGAAAAGAAAAAAAGGCAGGGCACAGUGGCUCACGCCUGUAAUCCUAGCACUUUGGGAGGCCGAGGCAGGCAGAUCGCUUGAGGUCAGGAAUUCCAGACCAGCCUGGCCAACAUGGUGAAAACCUGUCUCUACUAAAAAUACAAAAAUUAGCUGGGUAUGGUGGCGCACGCCUGUAAUCCGAGCUACUAGGGAGGCUGAGACAGGAGAAUCGCUUGUACCUGGGAGGUGGAGGUUGCAAUGAGCUGAGAUCGUGCCAUUGCACUCCAGCAGCCUGGACAACAGAGCAAUACUUGGUCUAAAAAAAAAAAAAAGAAAGAAAUGCAACGUAGGUCUCUCACGAAAUUAGCCCAAAUCUUCAGCCAUCUUCUACAGGCUGUGAAACCAGGAGAGGAAUUGAGUCCAUCUUACCUUGACCUCCCAGGCAGGGAGCGGACCAGGUAAUUUUUGGGUGACAAUACAACUAUUCUGUUAAUGCACCUUUUUCUUGAGGUAAGUUCUAAUGUGAUCCGUUUUGGUUACAGCUUUCUAUAACAGAAUAUUUUAUUCUUUCAUCUUUAAUGUUUCUCUAGUUUUCUCUUUUAGGAUUUAGAGAUCAUUCAGUCUCAUCUCAAAUAUUUCAAUUUCCAUGUGGUUCUUUCAUAAACAUUUAUCCACAGUGAGCCUGCCCUGCAUUCUUUGGGUGUGGCUGACAGUUGCAGCCACCCUCAGGUCUGCGGGGGUGGGUGUGUUGCCCCUGAACUGCAAUAGCAGAAUUUCUCCCUAGCCUGGCAGGGGAGUGCAAUCGUGGACUUGCUUUUCCACCCGCUGGGGUUGCAUUUCAUAGGUGCCGAGUGCCUGGGGGGCCCAGGCCUUUUCACAUGAGGGUUUUCAGCCCAGAUGUCCCUCCUGCUCUAGGGGAACCCUUCACAUCAGUCAGGUGACUUGCUGGACUGGUAGAGCCUCUGCCAUCAGCCUCUGAUGCAAAACCUUUUCUCAGGUGUCUGUGCGGUCCAUGGAGACCCGAGUUCCCAGGUUUGGGAGGGAUGCCACUUUCCUUAGGAAGAACAGCAAUGUAUGUCGUCCUUCCCAUCCAUGCAGAUGGGACAGGGCUCUCAGGAAAUCUGCCAUUAGCAUCGCCCUAGAAGAUGCACAGGCAGAGGCAGCUGCUGGGCACAGGCACUUGGGGAAGACAGGAGCCAUGACGCCACGCCACCUGUUGGUACCCAAAGGAAGUGGCUCUUUUGGCUGCUUGGCACCAUUCUUAUGACCCUUCCAUUUUGUUUCUAGUCUCAGAAGGGGUGGAGAAAGUCAUCCUUCCUAAAUGGUGUUGACUCUCAGACAUCUGACCGUGCCAGGAGAAUGGCUGUGCAAGGCGGCAGCCCAGGCCCGGGCAGGUGGCGGCCAGGAGUUGGGACCACAGAGGGCACUAGCAAGAGCAGCAGCUGCUCCGAGAUGCUUUGGCACAAGUCAGGAUACGUAUUUUGUAGUUUUCUCUUGUUUUUUAUUUUUCUGAGGUGGAGUCUCACUCUGUCGCCCAGGCUGGAGUGCAGUGGUGCAAUCUCAGCUCACUGCAAGCUCCGCCUCCCGGGUUCAAGCGAUUAUCGUGUCUCGGCCUCCAGAGUAGCUGGGAUCACAGGUGCACGCCACCACACCCAGCUGAUUUUUGUAUUUUUAGUAGAGAUGGGGUUUCGCCAUGUUUGGUCUUGAACUCUUGGCCUCAGGUGAUCUGCCCCCCUCAGCCUCCCAGAGUGCAAGGAUUACAGGCGUGAGCCACCGCACCCCACCUCCCGGCCUUUUCUCUUGUUUCAUUUUGGUAAACUAAAUUAGUUUAAUACCUCUACCCCAUCGGUGGUUGGAAUUCCCCACCUCAAUCAUUUUGGGGGCUCUCUGCCUCCUUUGAAUAGGACAGAUCUCCAGGGGUUUACCCAGGCUCCGAAGAGCCACUCCAGGCAGCCGGCUGUUUGGGGAGGUGCACCCUGGUCUUCUAGUCUGCGGAUUCCCUGCAUCGCUCCCCUGGUACUGCUCUCAAGCUCAAGGGUCACCUCAGCCAGAUGUGCCCUAGGCUGGCAGAGGUCCUUCCCCUAAAUGCAGCUGGGCAGGAUGCCACCCUUUCUACAAUAAGUUCGGUCCCAGGGAUUCCCCCAACACACACACACAUACAUUCUCUCUUACUCACAUCCUCACACACACUCACACACCCCACCACACUCACACACUUUCAAAAUCCACCGACUCUCACGCUCACACUCGCCAGCCCUUUCCCUUGCUCUGUCACUUCCCUCCAAGUCCCCGCCCCACACAGCCUCCUGCAGUCCCAGCCCCCUUGGUGCCAGCCAUCUCUGGUGCCAGCCAUCUCCCCCAAAUAUCCACCCUUCUGGGCUCCUUUCUGCCCAGAGGGACCUGAAGUUUCCCUAGGAAGCACUUGCUAAAGGCCUCCAGUCUCCAACUCCUGGGGAAGAAGGAUCCAGGCCUCUGCCGCACAAAGCCUCCACUGUUCUCUUGGGGCUGGCACCCCUUCCUGUGGCCCUGUGGCACCAAACAAAUUGAUUCAUCCAGCGAAUAUUUCUUAUUUACUCUGUUCCACAUGGUGGUGAGUGAAUCAACCCUGGACUCUCCCCACAAAGGACUUAAGAACACGCAGGUCAUGAACAAAUGAACACUUUUGCAUAAUUUUUAUGACCAACGGUGACCAGGCCAAGAGCAGGAUGAGGUGAUGGAGAAUACCUUGGCCUGGGGCAUCGGAGGAAACUCUUGCGAGGAUGUGCUACCUCCGUUGAAAGUGGGAAGAUGAGAGACCGGCUGUAAGAGGAGCAAGGGAAGGAGGUUCUGGAAUGAGAGAACAGCACGAACAAAAUGCCCGAGACAGGAGCGAGCUUGGCACCUUCAAGAAAAUAAAGAGGAGAAUCACUGAACCUGGCACGUGGAGGUUGCAAUGAGCUGAGAUCGCGCCACUGCACUCCAGCCUGCGAGACAGAGCGAGACUCCAUCUCAAAAAAAAAAAAAAAAAAAAAAAGGAAAGAAAAGGAGGCCAUUGGGAUGGCUGAGGCUGGAAGGGUGGACCAGGUGCCCCACAGGCAAGAGGUCCCAACUAUAGAUGAAGCACGCAGGCUACAGACAGGUGAGUGGUGCCUCGGGUGAGAGGCAAGUUUGUCUCCAUAGGUCAUCCUGCUACACGGAAUUCUCCAGAAUCCCCUGCAAAGGUGUAGAUGGGCUGGGUGCAGUAGCUCAUGCCUCUAAUCCCAGCACUUUGGGAGGUCGAGUCGGGCGGAUCACCUUGAGGUCAGAAGUUCAAGACCAGCCUGACUAACAUGGUGAAACCCUGUCUCAACUAGAAUACAAAAAUUAGCUGGGCAUGGUGGCAUUUGCCUGUAGUCCCAUCUACUCAGGAGGCUGAGGCAGGAGAAUUGCUUGAACCCGGGAGGUGGAGGUUGCAGUGAGCCGAGAUCGCGCCACCGCACUCCAGCCUUGGUGACAGAGCGAGACUCUGUCUCAAAAAAAAAAAAAAAAAAAAAGGUGUAGAUGGCUUAUGCUUUGUGAUUUUCAAUGUGACUUGUUUUUAUUUUUUUCCAAAUCUAUAGGUCUUUUAUUGAAUCAUCUAAAUAUCACAGAUACUUAGGUCUGAGGAGUCAUCCAACAUCGUGUUUCUGUAGCUGGACAACUCUUAGAACCUCCUCAGCAGCCUGCGGAACUGUUCCUUUUUAGGAGACGUAGACAGCACCCCAACAUUUUCUGAUAUCCUUGUUUUUAACUAUUGCUGCUUGCUGAAUCAGAGCAGCUGAAUUUGAACAAGACUGAAACAAGCUCAAUGUCGCUUCCUUCAAAGAUUAAUUCGACAUUCUGGGCUUGAGAUACUGAAUAAGCAACACCUGGCCUCAUCCGAACCCUGCAGAUGGAUUUUCCACCCAAGAUGUUUCAGAUUUCAACGAGAGUCCCGUUCUCCUGGAUAACGACGUUUCUGGGGAAGUGAGCACCCACAGAGGUCAUCUUGUAAUGGAACCCAGGGCAACCCCUUUGACCAUGCUCCGUACACGACUAUGAACAGUCCCAACGGCAGCCGGCUCCCUUCAGUUUCCCCACCGUUUGUCAACCCGGAGCCUCUUUUCCUUUCCAAGGAGACUGAGUUCUACAUUGAUGUGAUUGAAGUCUCUCCUCAAGGCUGUGUGCAGUGGCUCACACCUGUAAUCCCAACACUUUGGGAGGCAGAGGCAGGCGGAUCACUUGAGGCCAGGAGUUUGAGAGCAGCCUGGCCAACAUGGUGAAACCAUGUCUCUACUAAAAAUACAAAAAUUAGCCAGGCGUGGUGGCACAUGCCUGUAGUCUCAGCUACUAGGGAGGCUGAGGCAGGAAAAUUGCUUGAACCCAGGAGGCGGAGGUUGCAGUGAGCCAAGAUCGCACCACUGCACUCCAGCCUGGGCGACAGGGCAAGACCCUGUCUCAAAAAAAUAAAAUAAAUAAAUAAAUAAAUAAAUAAAUAAAGUCCUUCCUCAGGGUUCCUCUCAGGCCCUUCCCAAUAACUGUGUGUUCCUUUAGAGUAAUGUUGACCUUUUCUGGAAUAUCCAU